GAUCUAUCAACAUUAUCCCGGGAGAUUGUCCACUUAUUUUUUCUCAGUGCAUCAGUUCUCAUUUCAGUAUUUGCGUUCGUGAAUAAUCACGAAUCACUGCUUGAACAUAAAAGUAUAAAGAAACGUAAAUUAUGGUUUUUCGCAAGCGGGAAUUACAAUUCUAUCAAUUCUGCUGAGUUAACAGGUGACAAAUACUUUUAUACACUUACGGGCUCGGUGGAAGUGCUUGAAGAUCGAAAUUGUAAAUGGUCGGUAUUCGUUCGAUCGGUGGCGGCGGGAUCUGGAUGUUGUAUUCGUAGGAUUUCAUAGGAAGUGAAACAUAUGUAGAGAUUUCCGGAAGCGGCACUUCAGGAACUUCUAUAGAGACUGGAUAUUCCUGAUACAAACGCGGAAUCUUUACGGAAGCAGAAGCACGAAAAAGGUGGAAGACGGACAUGUCUGUCGGCGAGAGUGAAAACUGUCCAAGCAAGCGGAGCACGCGAAGACAGACGCUGACCGUGAAUGCCAUGGGUGUCUAGAAGAAGUUUACCUUACGUCGUAAAUAGAGGGGACGAUCCUUUUCUGUUGCAACGUUGGGCAAAGCUGAUGGCAACGCGUGUGUCGCGUUUACCGCAAUUUUGAGAUCUCCUCUGCAUACUUUCUCUUUCUUUAAGUCGGUCAACGGGUUAAUAAUACCGUAAAAAUCUCGAACGCGAAGACAACUGUGAAAGCAUCAAAGUCAAAUCAAAGAGAAAGUCGUCGGGAUGUCUAUCUUCGUCGAUAGCCAAGUUCCUCGCCGCAUAUUGAAGCGUUCAGCCGUAGUGGUAUCGUUCACGGCAACGUUCGUCGAGCUUAAAUAACUACAUAAAACGCGCGGGACCACGGAGGAAAGUCAAAAUACGAACGACCGAGGAAGAGACGAGGCCGCGGGGGCGACGACGGCGGCAAAAGUGGAAGAGGGUACUAGACGAGAGGGACGAAAAGGUUGCGGACAUAAAGCGUAAACAGUCGAGGUGUGAUUUGACGUGCACUCCGGCCGUGCCUUCGAGGCCCGCGCGUCCCGCUUUAAGAAUCGCCCGGUGGAAGAGGGUGAUGGCGAUGGCUGGAAUCUGUAAAUCUGUCAUUGCGGCCGUAUUCGUGCGCAGGAUAUGAACUUCUGGCCGUCGUGUCGGUCGCAUCGCGUCACGUCGCUUCGCUCCGCGAAGCAUCCUCGGCAAACUAUGGUUGGUUUAGUUCUUCGAUGGAUCGAGUUUUCGAUCUCCCAAAAGUAACACAUGUUGCGUGCGAGUAGCGGUAGCGAACUCGAAAAAAUCGCUGCCCCGAUAGAGAGAAGAGACUAUGAAGUUAAAACAAAUAGACGGGGUGAAAAUGGACUCGUGUUAUGAGAAAAUAAUUCUUCUUUGUAUUGUAUAUAUCGCGAUUAAAAUUAAACAGAGAAUAUCACAAUAUACUUCGAUCGUUCUCUUCUCUCUCUCUCUCUCUCUCUCUCUCUCUCUCUCUCUCUCUCUCUCGCUUUCACGCAAAUUCUUAAUUAAUCGCAUGCGCUCACGUAAUGAUACCGCAAAGAAUGCGCUGACACAAGCGAAACGAAGUUACGAUCGCGAUGGUUAACGCCUAUUCCGAACUCCGUCGGUCUUCUUCGGAAAUUCAGAAGGCGUUUCGAGCCGCACCAACAACGUGGAAACUAUAAAAGCUCCGCCACACCGUGUACAUGCGAAUCGUACAC